rnacentral:rRNA from 1 species
GCGGACGGAUGAGUAACACGUGGAUAACCUACCUAUAAGACUGGGAUAACUUCCGGAAACCGGAGCUAAUACCGGAUAAUAUAUUGAACCGCAUGGUUCAAUAGUGAAAGACGGUUUUGCUGUCCCUUAUAUAUGGAUCCGCGCCGCAUUAGCUAGUUGGUAAGGUAACGGCUUACCAAGGCAACGAUGCGUAGCCGACCUGAGAGGGUGAUCGGCCACACUGGAACUGAAACACGGUCCAGACUCCUACGGGAGGCAGCAGUAGGGAAUCUUCCGCAAUGGGCGAAAGCCUGACGGAGCAACGCCGCGUGAGUGAUGAAGGUCUUCGGAUCGUAAAACUCUGUUAUUAGGGAAGAACAAAUGUGUAAGUAACUAUGCACGUCUUGACGGUACCUAAUCAGAAAGCCACGGCUAACUACGUGCCAGCAGCCGCGGUAAUACGUAGGUGGCAAGCGUUAUCCGGAAUUAUUGGGCGUAAAGCGCGCGUAGGCGGUUUUUUAAGUCUGAUGUGAAAGCCCACGGCUCAACCGUGGAGGGUCAUUGGAAACUGGAAAACUUGAGUGCAGAAGAGGAAAGUGAAAUUCCAUGUGUAGCGGUGAAAUGCGCAGAGAUAUGGAGGAACACCAGUGGCGAAGGCGACUUUCUGGUCUGUAACUGACGCUGAUGUGCGAAAGCGUGGGGAUCAAACAGGAUUAGAUACCCUGGUAGUCCACGCCGUACACGAUGAGUGCUAAGUGUUAGGGGGUUUCCGCCCCUUACUGCUGCAGCUAACGCAUUAAGCACUCCGCCCUGG